AGUGAAUAGAUACCCUGGUAGUCCCAGCCGUAAACGAUGCUCGCUAGGUGUCAGGCAUGGCGCGACCGUGUCUGGUGCCGCAGGGGAAGCCGUGAAGCGAGCCACCUGGGGAAGUACGGCCGCAAGGCUGAAACUUAAAGGAAUUGGCGGGGAGCACAACAACGGGUGGAGCCUGCGGUUUAAUUGGACUCAACGCCGGACAACUCACCGGGGGCGACAGCAAUAUGUAGGCCAAGCUGAAGACUUUGCCUGAAUCGCUGAGAGGAGGUGCAUGGCCGUCGCCAGUUCGUACUGUGAAGCAUCCUGUUAAGUUCAGGCAACGAGCGAGACCCGUG
rnacentral:rRNA from 1 species